GGGACACCGACCCUCGAGGCCUGGAGUUGCCCACCCCUGCUAUAGAUGAACAACAGUGGAUCACACUCCACUUUAAAGACCAAGUCUGCAUUAUUCAUUAUGCAGUAUUGGCUGGAUGAGCCUCGGGCCACACCUCUGGCCUGUUAGAAGUCUGAUGAGACAUACACUCGAGAGGCGCUCAUCCCAAACAUGCAGGAGAAGCGUGGCUUGGCUUAGGAUCUCGCAGAUCUGAUAAAGACCCAACAAGUGAGCCCUUUCCUUCCUGAGUGGAGAACUGUUUGUGUUACAACGUUCUGCGUCUCUUCUUCUGGGUGUGGGAACCUGCCCCUCCCAGAGUCCAUGGUUUCCUCUCACCAAGGACCCACCACCAGCUAUCCUAUGUUUCACUCAGCCCUAAAUGUGACUGAAGAGAUGCAAAUGCUAAAAAUCUGCUCAAGUGAAGUGCUUAUCUGCAUGUACGAUAAACCGUCUCAAAGUUAUAGAGGGUUUGUAAUAAUAUAA